CAGAGGGUGCGAGCGUCAAUCGGAAUUACUGGGCGUUAAGCGCGCGUAGGCGGCUUUGCAAGUCGGGUGUGAAAUCCCCAGGCUUAACCUGGGAACUGCAUUCGAGACUGCAUUGCUAGAGUAUGGGAGAGGGAAGUGGAAUUUCCGGUGUAGCGGUGAAAUGCGUAGAUAUCGGAAGGAACAUCAGUGGCGAAAGCGACUUCCUGGACCAAUACUGACGCUCAUGUGCGAAAGCGUGGGGAGCAAACAGGAUUAGAUACCCUGGUUGUCCACGCCAUAAACGAUGAGAACUGGAUGUCGGGAGGGUCUGCCUCUCGGUGUCGUAGCUAACGCGUUAAGUUCUCCGCCUGGGGAGUACGGCCGCAAGGUUG
rnacentral:rRNA from 1 species